CGACCGGCGCACGGUGAGUAACGCGUAUCCAACCUGCCCACCACUUGGGAUAACCUUGCGAAAGUAAGACUAAUACCCAAUGAUAUCUCUAGAAAGACAUCUGAAAGAGAUUAAAGAUUUAUCGGUGAUGGAUGGGGAUGCGUCUGAUUAGCUUGUUGGCGGGGUAACGGCCCACCAAGGCAACGAUCAGUAGGGGUUCUGAGAGGAAGGUCCCCCACAUUGGAACUGAGACACGGUCCAA
rnacentral:rRNA from 1 species